rnacentral:rRNA from 1 species
AGUGAACGCUGGCGGUAGGCCUAACACAUGCAAGUCGAACGGCAGCACAGUAAGAGCUUGCUCUUACGGGUGGCGAGUGGCGGACGGGUGAGGAAUACAUCGGAAUCUACUUUUUCGUGGGGGAUAACGUAGGGAAACUUACGCUAAUACCGCAUACGACCUACGGGUGAAAGCAGGGGAUCUUCGGACCUUGCGCGAUUGAAUGAGCCGAUGUCGGAUUAGCUAGUUGGCGGGGUAAAGGCCCACCAAGGCGGCGAUCCGUAGCUGGUCUGAGAGGAUGAUCAGCCACGCUGGAACUGAGACACGGUCCAGACUCCUACGGGAGGCAGCAGUGGGGAAUAUUGGACAAUGGGCGCAAGCCUGAUCCAGCCAUACCGCGUGGGUGAAGAAGGCCUUCGGGUUGUAAAGCCCUUUUGUUGGGAAAGAAAAGCAGCAGGUUAAUACCCCGCUGUUCUGACGGUACCCAAAGAAUAAGCACCGGCUAACUUCGUG